AAUAGAUACCCCGGUAGUCCACGCCGUAAACGAUGUCGACUUGGAGGUUGUUCCCUUGAGGAGUGGCUUCCGGAGCUAACGCGUUAAGUCGACCGCCGUGGGGAGUACGGCCGCAAGGUUAAAACUCAAAUGAAUUGACGGGGGCCCGCACAAGCGGUGGAGCAUGUGGUUUAAUUCGAUGCAACGCGAAGAACCUUACCUACUCUUGACAUCCAGAGAACUUAGCAGAGAUGCUUUGGUGCCUUCGGGAACUCUGAGACAGGUGCUGCAUGGCUGUCGUCAGCUCGUGUUGUGAAAUGUUGGGUUAAGUCCCGCAACGAGCGCAACCCUUAUCCUUUGUUGCCAGCGGUCCGGCCGGGAACUCAAAGGAGACUGCCAGUGAUAAACUGGAGGAAGGUGGGGAUGACGUCAAGUCAUCAUGGCCCUUACGAGUAGGGCUACACACGUGCUACAAUGGCGCAUACAAAGAGAAGCGACCUGCGAGAGCAAGCGGACCUCAUAAAGUGCGUCGUAGUCCGGAUUGGAGUCUGCUAACG
rnacentral:rRNA from 1 species